GUUCCCGUGGUGUAGUGGUUAUCACGUGCGCCUCACACGCGCAAGGUCCCCGGUUCAAUCCCGGGAGGGAGCA
rnacentral:tRNA from 1 species